CAGCGGGGUUUCGGGGCUGUGGACCCUGUGCCAGGAAAGGAAGGGCGCAGCUCCUGCAAUGCAGAGCGGCCAGGGCAGUGGGCACCAGGCUUUAGCCUCCCUUUCUCACCCUACAGAGGGCAGGCCCUUCAGCUCCAUUCUCCUCCAAGGCUGCAGACGGGGCAGGAACUGGGGGUGACAGGAGAGCUGUAAGGUCUCCAGUGGGUCAUUCUGGGCCCAGAGAUGGGUGCUGAAGCUCCCACACCUGCCUGUGAAAAUGGAGUCCUCUCUCACCUAGGAGAGCCAGGUGCUGCCCCGAGAAGGAAGCAUUUAUGGCUUCAUGAAGUCUUUCCUGACCCCCGAUGCUGCUGACUAUAGAGACAAAGUCUCACUAUGUUGCUCAGGCUGGUCUUGAACUCCUGGCCUCAAGCGAUCCUCCCACCUUAGCCUCCCAAAGUGUUGGGAUUAUAGACAUGAGCCACUGCACCUGGCCGACCUUGGGCAAGUUCUUAAACCCUUCAAAGCCUCAUUUUUCUCCAAUCAUAAAAGGGAAAGAUGGUAAUAUUUUCCCUGCCAAAUUCUUGUCGGAUGCCCUCACAGAAUUGAGAUUAUGUACAUAAAACACCAGGUGCCUAACCCGGCACAGAGCAGGAGGGCUAAGCAUGACAUCCAGCACGUGGUCAGUGGAAUCCAGUAUUCCUACCCACCUCUCUAGUCUCCCCUCCACCCCUCUCCCUUUCAGAGGCACCAAGCUGCUUGUGGUCUUGUCUAUUCCCACUCCCUGCCUGACUGAACAUUUUCUCCACCCCCUGAUCAUCAGCAGCAGAAACUGGCUGCUCUUCCUCCUGGGUAGACAGCCAGACUGUAUUUCCCAGCUGCCCCUGCAGUGAGAUGUGGCCAUCGGAGCCAGCAUUGGCCAAUGGACUCUGCAUGGGAGUGACGCAUGCUGCCUCCAGGCUUCUCCCUAAAACCUCCCACGUGUCCUCCGCCUGCUCUUCCCACUUCCAAGGAGCACGGCAAUUGUGGAAGACCCAGAUUAGUGAUGGCAGAACCAUAGAUGGGAGGAACCUGGGUCCCUGACUUAAAAUAUCAUGGAUUUGGAUGUUCCCUUAGUGAGAAAUAAACUUCCAUUGUGUUUAAGCCUUUAUUUGUUUAUAGUUGGUUACAGCAACUGCCUUCUUUUAAUUAAAACACUCCUGCUGCU
rnacentral:lncRNA from 1 species